ACCUACCUACCCUACCUACCUACCUACCUGACGACCUACUUGACAUUCCACUAAUACUGCAACCCAAUCCAGUACAACCCAGUGGAAGAAUGACCAGAAAUGCAAAAAUAUUUCAAGAAACUAUGGGAUAUCUUCUCGUCGUAGUCAACAUGAGACACAUUCUCUUGAAGGUUCUACCGAAAAGCAAA